ACCAGGAUGGCUGAGUGGUUAAGGCGUUGGACUUAAGAUCCAAUGGAUGCAUAUCCGCGUGGGUUCAAACCCCACUCCUGGUA
rfam:Xenopus tropicalis strain Nigerian Chr03_contig_3535, whole genome shotgun sequence.